AUGUUACUCACGCACACUCAAAACUCGUGGCGUUGGUUGAGGUAUAGUGUUAGGGUUAGAUAAGAUUGCUUGGUCAUUGCUUAUUUUUCCACAUGGGUUCAGACCUGAAUAUGUUAGUUAUGCAUGACAAGGAAUAGUUAGGGAGUAAGUACGACCACUGGCUGCCGUUCAAAUGCUAGGCAUAUUUUGGAACGCUGUGGGUUCUCAUGACUGUAUCUAAAGCACGCUGAAGUAAUUAAUCAGGCUAUCAUGAGUGUUUCUUCACACUGAUGAAUCCUAGCGAAAAAAUCACGGGAAUUAUUAAAAUCUUCUUGAAUGUUCAUUACUUUCCACUAGAUUUUGUCAUAAAAGCGAUUAAGACAGACGCUUAAAUAUCUGAAAAUUCGUUCCUGCAUUUUCUCGGAUAAAUGACGCAGAAGCUGACUAUUGACGCGCAGAUAUUUUAGGGCAAGUCAUGACUGCCCAAUCUAAUCAUUCCGUUUGUGUAGUGGUGACGUAACUAGACGGUUGUUGGUACUAAUGGUCUUUAUAUCAAUGUGAUUAUAUACAUAGGCAGUGAGAAGUGGAGGUGGCCAGCAGGAUGCCUAUGUGUGCCCAGUUGCAUCAAGUUGCCUUAUGUUCCAUUCAUUCCACUCUACGCAACAUAACUCCCAUUAAAAAUUUAUCUUCACUGUAUAAGAAGACACGUGAUAGUGAAGAACACAAACGUAUGAUAAUAAGAAGCAGGAAUGUUGGUAUGCGAGGAUGAUCUUCAGCCUCUGUAAGACACGCGCCGCUGCUUAUGAAUGGAACCAAGUGCAGGGACUGUCUGCUGGUGUGCAGACUGAACUGACAAUGUAGCAGUGGACACAUGGCUUCAUAACAACUAGAAACACUACACCCACCUUGAUGUAGGUCUCGUACAUCUCCAUGAAGAAGUUUUUGAUGCCAUCAUCAUUUUUUACAUCAUGGAGGCAGAUAAGUCUUAUCCUUCCAGCCGUCACAAAUGCAGACACGUACCUUAUCAAGAAAAACAAAGGUUAGAUGACACUACAGUACCUCGCCAUAAUAGACACUUCAGAGAUGAGGGGAUGUCCGUUACUGUUAAUUGUUAGUUACUGAGAGAGAGAUUUGUCUGUGAGGUCCUUAACUGCUUCCCCUUUUUUUGGGUAAUUUAUUUUUUUUUAAUAAUGUUAAAAAAUAUUUUGAACAUUCAAACCACUAUUCUGAAGUAAGAGAGUUAAUUAUAAAAGAUGUUCACUUGAUCUAAAAUAAUGUAAAAAUAUUUUGAGCAUUCAAACCACAGUUCUGAAAUAAGAGAGUUAAUUAUUAAAGAGGUUCACUUGAUCUAACACUUCUUACAUAUGCAGUCUCACUAUGGACUAUCAUCCUGCUGCAAGCCAGCCACAUAGCCACCCUCACAGUCAAUCCAAGGCAGUAAUUUACAAUGUGAACAAGUACUUAUUAAGAGAGAGAGAGAGAGAGAGAGAGAGAGAGAGAGAGAGAGAGAGAGAGAGAGAGAGAGAGAGAGAGAGAGAGAGAGAGAGAGAGAGAGAGAGAGAGAGAGAGAGAGAGAGAGAGAGAGAGAGAGAGCCCUCCUCUCCUUUCUCUCUCUCUCUCAGCAAAUUCUGUUACCAGUAGGUACCACUGCAUUCCUAUUGUGUAAGCUCCUCUUCUCUUCCCUAUUACUUUCUGUAUCAUCAUUUUCAUUCCAAAGCUGGAUGCUGUGUCUAGGUGCGUAAUGACUUGACUUGCAUUAUUACCCACACCCUUGAAUCUUCCGAGUUUCCUAACAUCUAGCUAUGACUAAAGUCACUCUGAAACUAAAUUUAUCUUUGCUGUAUACCUCUUACCAUAUUCCUAUGACUACUAAACUUUCAAAGUGGAUCAUAUGUGGUCUCUGUCCUUUGCAGAUAUCUCCAUUCUCAAAGACUCCAAAGCUCAACACCAGCUUUGGCUUUUCUCUCUCUUCACUGACCAUCCUGGUGAGCUACCCUUUAACUUGUAGUCUAAGUGAGAGGUAUACAGCACAGAUAAAUAUGGUUUGAGAGCAGAGUAAUCAUACCCAGAUGGUAGGAAACUAAGGUCAUAAUGCACAGAUGCAGUACGCAGGUUUGGAAUUAAAAUGAGGAAAGAGAGAGAAAGUAAGAAGGAACAGAAAAGGUGCUACUAUUAGUUGCUUCACACACCUGUGUUUCAGUGAGGAAAAGAUGAUAAGAUUUAGUAAAGAAAAGGUGGUGUUCUACAGAUUAAAAAUUAGAUCUAGGACUUAUGAAUGUUACAGAAGCUGAUGAAGAAAAGUUGAGAGGAGUGUCAAGACAUUAAAUUAAGGAUUGAUACCAUGAGAGGAGUCUGACCUGGAGACAUUUAUGGUCCCCUCUACCCAGAAAGGGACACCACUCCGAGGCUCUUGGCUGGUCUCCAUCUUACAUAAAAAAGUCUCACCAUUCAUUGAAUUUGUCCACCAGGCGGAGGUACAUAUUGGUGGUGGUCCACAUGCUCUCGUCUACAAGGUCCAGCGCAGCAUGAGCAAUGAACUGGUUGAGGUGGCGAUGGUCCUCCUUCUAUGGAGUGAAAAUGACACACUGCACUCUGCAUUGAUGAGAGAAAGCCUCCAUGAGACACGCUGGCCUUGUGUAUGUGACCUUGAUGACUGGACAAUGAAAGCUGUCAUGAGGGUUUUGCUACAUGAUGAACAUUACUUCUACAGCAGCUAAUAGUUGUCAUGGACCCUGGUAUCAAGGCACUGGUGGGGGAGUAAUGAUGCUGGUUAAUUCUGUUUUAUAGAUGGCUCAUCACCCGAAGGAGGUUUGUCACCACUGACUUACUCCACUGAAGCAAUUUUAUGAUAAAAACUUCAUUGCUACAGAAUCUACAAUUACCUUCCAUUAUAUCUAGUGUCAUCAUCUCUUCCAGCAGUUACUACAUUUUCUACAAUGUACUAUGCAGCACUAACACAUGUAAAAAUUUCCAUGUGCACUUCCAAAAACAAAAAUUAAAUUGUAUUCUUCAAAUGAAAGCAAAGUUUCAUAAAAUAAUGUGAAUAGUAUGCAAUAAAAGAUUACAACUGCUG